rnacentral:rRNA from 1 species
GUAGGGUGCGAGCGUUAAUCGGAAUUUACUGGGGGCGUAAAGCGUGCGCAGGCGGUUGUGCAAGACAGAUGUGAAAUCCCCCGGGGGCUCAACCUGGGGAAUUGCAUUUGUGACUGCACAGCUAGAGUGUGUCAGAGGGGGGUAGAAUUCCACGUGUAGCAGUGAAAUGCGUAGAGAUGUGGAGGAAUACCGAUGGCGAAGGCAGCCCCCUGGGAUAACACUGACGCUCAUGCACGAAAGCGUGGGGAGCAAACAGGAUUAGAUACCCUGGUAGUCCACGCCCUAAACGAUGUCAACUAGUUGUCGGGUCUUAAUUGACUUGGUAACGCAGCUAACGCGUGAAGUUGACCGCCUGGGGAGUACGGUCGCAAGAUUA